UACGUAGGGGGCCAGCGUUGCUCGGAAUUACUGGGCGUAAAGGGUUCGUAGGCGGUGCGGCAAGUUGGGAGUGAAAUCUCUGGGCUUAACUCAGGGGCUGCUUUCAAAACUGCCGCGCUCGAGUGCGAGAGAGGUCAGUGGAAUUGCAGGUGUAGCGGUGAAAUGCGUAGAUAUCUGCAGGAACACCCGUGGCGAAGGCGGCUGACUGGAUCGCAACUGACGCUGAGGAACGAAAGCUAGGGGAGCAAACAGG
rnacentral:rRNA from 1 species